rnacentral:rRNA from 1 species
GAUCCUGGCUCAGGACGAACGCUGGCGGCGUGCUUCAUACAUGCAAGUCGAACGAUAAGGCACCUUCGGGUGUACAUAAGUGGCGGACGGGUGAGUAAUAUGUAGAGAAUCUGCCCUAGAGCGGGGGACAACAGUUGGAAACGACUGCUAAUACCCCAUAUGAGCGUAGUUGAAAUACUAUUCUUGAAAACUCCGGUGCUCUGGGAUGAGUCUGCAUCUGAUUAGCUAGUUGGGGGUGUAAUGGACCACCAAGGCGACGAUCAGUAGCUGGUUUGAGAGGAUGAUCAGCCACAAUGGGACUGAGACACGGCCCAUACUCCUACGGGAGGCAGCAGUAGGGAAUUUUGCGCAAUGGGGGCAACCCUGACGCCAGCAACGCCGCGUGACCGAUGAAGCCCUUCGGGGUGUAAAGGUCUGUCAGUGGGGACGAAACUUGACGGUACCCACAGAGGAAGCAUCGGCUAACUCCGUGCCAGCAGCUGC